rnacentral:tRNA from 1 species
GCCGCGGUGGCGGAAUCGGCAGACGCACUAGCUUCAGGAGCUAGCGGCCGCAAGGUCAUGAGGGUUCGAAUCCCUCCCGCGGCA